rnacentral:lncRNA from 1 species
CAUCGCCAGCCGCUCACAACUCCUCACCGGGGCAUCAAGACUUCUCCUCCGCACAUGCCCGAACCACAUCAGCCUCGCUUCUCGCAUCUUCUCAUCUACCGGGGUCACCCCCACCUUCUCUCGAAUAACUUCAUUCUUAAUCUUAUCUAACAUGAUGUGCCCGCACAUCCACCUGAGCAUCCUCAUCUCCGCAACCUUCAUUCUCUGAACAUGAG